GUGCUCAUUUCAGCAGCAUAUAUACUAAAAUUGGAAUAAUACAGAGAAGAUUAACAUGGCCCCUGCACAAAGAUGACAUGCAAAUUCGUGAAGCAUUCCAUAUUUUU